GUUUCCUAAUUACCGUAAGAGUGUAAUGUAGCCCUCAGGUCGUGUGUGUGUGUGUGUGUGUGUGUGUGUGUAUGCGUGUGCAUGCGCUUGUGUGUGUAAUCAAGAUGAGGCAGUAACUCUCUAUUAUUAGCUAAGAGUUUUAAAAAUCAUUAAAGGCUUUGCUGUUCACAGUAGCCAAGGUAUGCAAACAAGGUUAGCCACCUUCUAUUGUUAUAGUGAAAAGAAGAGGGAAAGAAGGUAAAAUACAAUCUGAGGGCUUGAAGAGUUGAACUGAAUUGCACAGACCCAGAAAAACUGCUGCUGCUGCUGCAAUUCUUUACAAAUCCCUCUACUGACCAUAAUUUUAAAAGUGAUCCUAUGGGGAAAACAAAAGAGAAUAUAAACAAUUGGGACUGGAUCAAACCAAACUGCUCUGCACAGUGAAAGACAUAGCUAAAAUGAAGAAACACUCUGCUCAAUGGAAGAAAGUAUUUCCACACCAUACGUCUGACAAGGAGCUGAUAUCAAAGGCCUACAAGGAGCUGAUAUCAAAGGCCUACAAAGAGCUCAUACAACUCAACAAAAUGAAAAGAAAUAUCCCAAUCAAAAUAUGGGCAAAAGAGCCCACUUUGCAAACACAGUCAUCACAUGCUUUGUUCAACUGCUAGCCUUUCCAAAAGGAAAGAUUAGGAGGUGGCAAUUGUAUAUGACAUUACAGUAGACAGACGGAACUGAAUCAAUCAAGAAGCACAGAGAAUAGGGGAAUAUGGAAAGUGAAGUUUGAAUUAAAAAACAGACCUCCAUUAUUUUAAAAAUGUGGUCAUCUUGAUACUUUCAGAAAGUGGUGUAGUUUAAUCUGGCUAUAAGUCUGGGCUUUAGAGUCAGAUAUAUUUGGGUACAUAAUCCUCUUUGACCAGCAGUUACUAGUUUAUUGUGGGACAUGUUACUUUUUAAAAUCUCAUUUUCUCCCUGGUUGAGUUGUAUAAAUAAAAAUUUAAAUGUAGAAGUAUGCAAAGGCUUUAGAAAAAUGUCUGACUUUAAUAGAAAGUACUACGUAAAAAGUAACUCCUGUUACAUAAGUUCUCUUGCCAAGUCAGCUCACGCAGUUCUUCUAGCCUAGAGAGCCUACUAUUUUUUUCUAAUACUUGCUUUGGGAAACUGAGCAUUCAAAUGUCAACUCUAUUCAAAUACCACCUCCUUAUAUACACUAUGCAGAUGUUUCUGUAAUUCGUAGUUUAUGCAUAAUGAUUAUUACAAUGCUUUUCACAUUUUCUUGUAAAGCUCCUUUUUCCCCCACUAGAUAUUAUAAAUUUCUUGAGACAGAGUCCAUGUCUUACAACUUUGUAUUCUAACACUUAAAACAGUAUUGUAACAGGCAUUUCAUCAAUAUCUGUGACUCACUAAGUAUUUCAUAAUUAGCAGGUUGUUUCUUUUGCUAUAUUUGACUUCUUUUAGGAUAGCACCUAUGAUGUACCCCAAACCCUUGGAACUUUAUUACAUGAAUGUAGGGCUAAAUACACAGAGUUGAAAUACAGAAGUGUAAUUAUAAAUUCAAGAUAGGUAACAAAGUAGUUAAUGCAGAAAUCUGGUAAUCUAAGGAAGGAAAAUACCAAAGAAUGCCCGGAUAUCAUCCAUAAUCACUGAGAUGGCAUAUUUGUCUCACUGGAAUGGCAACUGUAGGAGCUGCUUACUUUUGCUAAUAAAUAAUACCCUUAAAUUUGUCACUAUGCUAUCAGAAUUCUUACUGAAAUACUGUUCAAAUUAUUGAAUAGCAGGAGAGAACUGUUAGUUUUAAGAAGAGUAAGGAUAAAAUAACAAUAUAAUUAAAAAGCUAUUUCCCUAUAAGAAACAAAUAUGCUACUAAAUGAGAACAGAUAUACUGAGGAUCUUAAAACAUGGUAAAAAGUACAAUGAAAACAUUACUAUGUAGAUAGUUUCCAUCAUUUCCCCCCUCCUUACCAUGAUGAAUUUCAUAUUCUUUGGUUCCUUGACCUUUAAAUACUGCUAGACAUGGCUGAAAAAUGUAGAGAUUACUACAGAUGUCCAGUGCAGAGGAACAGUCAAAUUUGCCAAUCUAAAGUAGAAAAACAAGGUUCAACUUGAAGAAAACACAAUGUAUCCAUUCAACUUUUAAAUAUCCGUAAAGAUAAGUUAAAAAUACACUUCUCUAACAAUACAGUUUCUAAAAGAAAGUUAAUAGGUCAUGAAAAGAAAUUCACA